CAGGCCUAACACAUGCAAGUCGAGCGGUAGAGAGAAGCUUGCUUCUCUUGAGAGCGGCGGACGGGUGAGUAAUGCCUAGGAAUCUGCCUGGUAGUGGGGGAUAACGUUCGGAAACGGACGCUAAUACCGCAUACGUCCUACGGGAGAAAGCAGGGGACCUUCGGGCCUUGCGCUAUCAGAUGAGCCUAGGUCGGAUUAGCUAGUUGGUGGGGUAAUGGCUCACCAAGGCGACGAUCCGUAACUGGUCUGAGAGGAUGAUCAGUCACACUGGAACUGAGACACGGUCCAGACUCCUACGGGAGGCAGCAGUGGGGAAUAUUGGACAAUGGGCGAAAGCCUGAUCCAGCCAUGCCGCGUGUGUGAAGAAGGUCUUCGGAUUGUAAAGCACUUUAAGUUGGGAGGAAGGGUUGUAGAUUAAUACUCUGCAAUUUUGACGUUACCGACAGAAUAAGCACCGGCUAACUCUGUGCCAGCAGCCGCGGUAAUACAGAGGGUGCAAGCGUUAAUCGGAAUUACCGGGCGUAAAGCGCGCGUAGGUGGUUAGUUAAGUUGGAUGUGAAAUCCCCGGGCUCAACCUGGGAACUGCAUUCAAAACUGACUGACUAGAGUAUGGUAGAGGGUGGUGGAAUUUCCUGUGUAGCGGUGAAAUGCGUAGAUAUAGGAAGGAACACCAGUGGCGAAGGCGACCACCUGGACUGAUACUGACACUGAGGUGCGAAAGCGUGGGGAGCAAACAGGAUUAGAUACCCUGGUAGUCCACGCCGUAAACGAUGUCAACUAGCCGUUGGGAGCCUUGAGCUCUUAGUGGCGCAGCUAACGCAUUAAGUUGACCGCCUGGGGAGUCGGCCGCAAGGUUAAAAC
rnacentral:rRNA from 1 species